GCAUAUCAAUAAGCGGAGGAAAAGAAACCAACAGGGAUUGCCUCAGUAACGGCGAGUGAAGCGGCAAAAGCUCAAAUUUGAAAUCUGGCUCUUUCAGGGUCCGAGUUGUAAUUUGUAGAAGAUGCUUUGGGUGUGGCUCUGGUUUAAGUUCUUUGGAAUAUUACAUCAUAGAGGGUGAGAAUCCCGUAUGUGACCAGUCGCCGCGCCCGUGUAAAGCUCUUUCAACGAGUCGAGUUGUUUGGGAAUGCAGCUCAAAAUGGGAGGUAUAUUUCUUCUAAAGCUAAAUAUUGGCCAGAGACCGAUAGCGCACAAGUAGAGUGAUCGAAAGAUGAAAAGCACUUUGGAAAGAGAGUUAAACAGUACGUGAAAUUGUUGAAAGGGAAGCGCUUGCAACCAGACUUGCACGCAGUUGAUCAUCCGGUGUUCUCACCGGGGCACUCUGCUGCGUUCAGGCCAGCAUCGGUUUUGGUGGUUGGAUAAAGACCUUGGGAAUGUAGCUUCUUUCGGGGAGUGUUAUAGCCCUUGGUGCAAUGCAGCCUACCGGGACCGAGGACCGCGCUUCGGCUAGGAUGCUGGCGUAAUGGUUGUAAGCGGCCCGUCUUGAAACACGGACCAAGGAGUCUAACAUCUAUGCGAGUGUUUGGGUGUCAAACCCAUACGCGUAAUGAAAGUGAACGGAGGUGAGAACCCUUAAGGGUGCAUCAUCGACCGGUCCUGAUGUCUUCGGAUGGAUCUGAGUAAGAGCAUAGCUGUUGGGACCCGAAAGAUGGUGAACUUAUGCGUGAAUAGGGUGAAGCCAGAGGAAACUUCUGGUGGAGGCUCGCAGCGGUUCUGACGUGCAAAUCGAUCGUCAAAUUUGCGCAUAGGGGCGAAAGACUUAUCGACCAUCUAGUAGCUGU
rnacentral:rRNA from 1 species